AACAACAGCUUGCCUGUUUAAUUUUUCAACUCAACGCUAUCUCUGGAUAUCGUUCACAAGUAGUUGCGAAACUUUUUGCGCAUUAUAGCCAAACAUGGGGGCGAUACCGAAGGGAACUAAAUACAUCAAAACGAUUCCCUUUUUCUUGAAGAUAGCAGAAUUUGGUGUACUAUUGAUUGCAAUAAGUACAUUGGGAGCAUUUUUAGACAACGUAGGUUCUGCCAUCAACCCUUGGGGAGGAAAAGGUAGCUUAUAUUUUGGAAUGUUUGCAAUUGUCGUCUCAUGGAUUGUUGUCAUGGUGAUGGUCGUUGUUUUUGUAACUGGAUUGCAUGAAAAAGUCACUGUGAUUAACUGGCCAUUGACGGUAGGUGUUCAUCAACAUGGUGCUAUGGGGUGUAAUGCUGUUAAUAGCUUGUGGUGUUAUGUCCAACACUCUUCGAAAAUAUUAUAGCAAGAAGAUCUCUAAUACACUAUGUAACUCCCUGGACACUGAUAAAGUCGGUGUAACAUGCUUUCAUCUUAUUAGUGCUACGGUUUGCUGUUUCAUUGCAACCAUUAUUUUUGCAGUCGACGCAAACUUAAACUAUCAUCUAUUCAAAAGCAGAACUUGUACGACGACGCCAGUUACAUUAAUUAUAUAAUCAGUUGAAACUGUGGCUAUUUUUCUCACCGAUUUUACUUAAAACUGCACUUUUGUUAAAUAAAUGAAGCAAACAAACUGAGUUUCAACUGAUUAUUUAACUAAGGUCCCUAUUAUCAUAGAUAAACUGAAAAUGUACAGUAUUAUUUGGUAAAAAGUAACAAGGGUGGCCGAAGAUUAAUAAUUGGUUCCGAGGGGUAAUAUUUUUGUAAUACACGUUUUACUUAAUUAAUUUCUAUUGAAAUCAAUUGUGAUUACGUAAUAAACUUAUAACCUUAUACACUAUGUCAUAUUCUAAGUAUUAAUUUUUUUGUAUGUAGUGUUUUGUGAAUAACUUUAAUAAUAAUAACUAUUAAUAACUAUUAAUAGCUACUUCAUGCGCCCCUUAAGUUGACGUCGUUACUCGUGUUAGUGUGUUUAAAUAUUAUCAUUUCUAUGUAUGAAUGUAUAUGGAAUUUAAUAGUGUUAAUAAUCAUAUGGAUAAUGAAAGACGUAUGAAAAGAAAGAUUGGCAAAAAAGCCUGAGGAUGAAGCGUUGUCACUUCAGAAAGAAGACUCCAUAUGUUGGAGAUAUAACUUAUAGAAAAUUUUGCAACGUAUAUCUUAUUACACUUGUCAUCA